ACCGUUUCCAGUACGAUCACUAAAAUUAAUCAACCUCGAGCCUAGUCAGUACCUAGAUGGGUGACCACGUGGGAAUACCAGGUGUUGUAAG